rnacentral:tRNA from 1 species
AGUAGUGAAGUAAAAAUUACACUUAGUUUCGGCCUAAGAUUAGGGCAAAGCCCCUUACUU